rnacentral:rRNA from 1 species
UACGUAGGGUGCGAGCGUUAAUCGGAAUUACUGGGCGUAAAGCGUGCGUAGGCGGUUCGUUAUGUCUGCUGUGAAAGCCCCGGGCUUAACCUGGGAAUGGCAGUGGAAACUGGCGGGCUUGAGUGUGGCAUAGGGGGGUGGAAUUCCGCGUGUAGCAGUGAAAUGCGUAGAGAUGCGGAGGAACACCGAUGGCGAAGGCAGCCCCCUGGGCUGACACUGACGCUGAGGCACGAAAGCGUGGGGAGCAAACAGG